GACGAACGCUGGCGGCGUGCUUAACACAUGCAAGUCGAACGGAAAGGCCCUGCUUUUGUGGGGUGCUCGAGUGGCGAACGGGUGAGUAACACGUGAGUAACCUGCCCUUGACUUUGGGAUAACUUCAGGAAACUGGGGCUAAUACCGGAUAGGAGCUCCUGCUGCAUGGUGGGGGUUGGAAAGUUUCGGCGGUUGGGGAUGGACUCGCGGCUUAUCAGCUUGUUGGUGGGGUAGUGGCUUACCAAGGCUUUGACGGGUAGCCGGCCUGAGAGGGUGACCGGCCACCUUGGGCCUGAGAGACGGCCCAGACUCCUACGGGAGGCAGCAGUGGGGAAUAUUGCACAAUGGGCGGAAGCCUGAUGUAGCAACGCCGCGUUCGGGAUGACGUCCUUCUGGUUGUAAACCGCUGUCGCCUGUGACGAAGCGUGAGUGACGGUAAUGGGUAAAGAAGCACCGGCUAACUACGUG
rnacentral:rRNA from 1 species